UACGAACCGUCCAAACGUUAUUCGGAAUCACUGGGCUUAAAGAGUCCGUAGGCGGCUCAGAAAGUAGGGUGUGAAAUCCCACGGCUCAACCGUGGAACUGCGCUCUAAACUACUGAGCUUGAGGGAGCUAGAGGUAAGCGGAACUGAUGGUGGAGCGGUGAAAUGCGUUGAUAUCAUCAGGAACACCGGAGGCGAAGGCGGCUUACUGGGGCUUUUCUGACGCUGAGGGACGAAAGCUAGGGUAGCGAAC
rnacentral:rRNA from 1 species